UGGGGAAUAUUGGGCAAUGGGCGAAAGCCUGACCCAGCAACGCCGCGUGAAGUAUGAAGGCCUUCGGGUUGUAAACUUCUUUGAUAAGGGAAGAAACAAAUGACGGUACCUGAAAAACAAGCCACGGCUAACUACGUGCCAGCAGCCGCGGUAAUACGUAGGUGGCGAGCGUUAUCCGGAUUUACAGGGUGUAAAGGGCGUGCAGGCGGGCUGAUAAGUCAGAUGUGAAAUCCCCGAGCUUAACUCGGGAACUGCAUCUGAUACUGUUGGUCUUGAGUGCUGGAGAGGAUAGUGGAAUUCCUAGUGAAGCGGUAAAAUGCGCAGAUAUUAGGAGGAACACCAGUGGCGAAGGCGGCUAUCUGGACAGUAACUGACGCUGAGGCGCGAAAGCGUGGGUAGCAAACAGG
rnacentral:rRNA from 1 species